CAUCUUGUAAUUUUUAACAUUUAAUAUUCUACUUAGUUUUCGUAAAAUUAGCUAAAAAUUAGUUUUUUUACGAUAUUGUUUCGUUUCAGAAGAGUUAUUUACACACUUGGGGUAACUGCUGCCCGUUCAAAAGCUGUAUCCUGUAUACGAUAAAGUGAAGACAAUUUUAUAUAUCAAUCGUCUAGGUUUACAAUAAGGAAUCACAAUAGGAUCAAAGCAUCAAGGAUGGACUGGCGGGGAGCACAGGGACAUUUCCAGAAGGCCAUUCGACUUGUGGACCUGCUGCCAAAUUAAGGAAGAAAAGGUGCUGACAUCGUUCCCCCGCCACCUUGGGGAGUUGUUAAUGGCCCGUGUCGCUUCAAUUGGUUUCUAAAUGCUUAUGAGCGGGGGUCCAACUGUGCGCUUAAUGAACAGCUCCUCCUGGCCAGCUGCAGCAGAUGGGCGCGUUCAGCCGUGACCCCCCACCCGACCCCAGACCUGUGAGACCUAACCGCAUCUGUCACACACACAUUUAUGCUAUAUGUUCUAAUAUACACACACACCACCAGGGCACCACUUUGCUGACGCAUCUCGUACUCGCAAACAUUUCUAAACUCUAACACAUGACUCCAGAUGAGGUGGUCACACCUGCUAAUCCAUGUCCCAAUAAUGUAGAGUUCCUCUGACAAGGAACCAGCAGCAGAGACUGAUGCUCUCUCAGGCCAUUACAUGGUAAGAAUUAGGCGCAGCUGGAAGCGGGACCAUAUUUGACUAAAUCAAUUAUCUAUCUUUGGUCUAUAAUGAGACGGACACAAACAAAUGGUCCAACAGAUUUUCUAAUUAGCACUUUGAAUGCCAAGCUUGUGUUAAAGAAAUGGACCAAUGUAGUCUAACCAAAGUCCAAAAUCUGUCAAUAGUGGGUGAAUUGAGAUCAUCCUUCCAGUAAUGAACAUGAAAAACAUCUAACAAAAGUAUUUAAAAGUACUAAAAUAAUCAUUGAUGUCCAAAAGUUAACAAGCAGAAUGUUAUGUUCUUUUUAAUUUUUCAGCUAGCAAUUCUUUCAGAAGCAUUGAAAAUGACUCUUCUUUGCUCUUCUAUGAGCAUUCUUUUAUAGCUACUCUGUGAACAAGUGUCAAUGUCAAAGGUGUGUGAAGUGGAAUCAGAUAUAUCUAAAACAUAAUGGAAAAAUGUGGUUGAUGUAGUGAUGCACGUUUGUAUCGGAGCAUAAGCAGUGACUCAUGGGAAGAGAGGGAGAGACUGACAGAGACAAAAAGAGCGAGAUCUUUUGGCAAGACCUGGAAUUGUAAGUCAGAGAUGAAUAAAUGAAAGACAUUUAUCAGAUUUAUCAUAUCUGAUUAUGAUGUUGUUGUUUAUCAACAGUAGAGACGCGCCAGGAUCAGAUAUAAAAGCCUGCAUAGACGGACACCAUUAUUUCCCCUACACUGACUGACGAAAGCCCUUUUAAGCUUGGCAUGUCCUAAAAAAGAAAGCUAAAUUUAAGACCUCAAGAAACAUAUUUUAUUUUAAACAAAUUGGUUUUAUGUAGUCUGCUUCGAUGUUCUACAGUCAGUCUGAAAAUCUGGGGAAGCCCAUUCAAACACUGGAAAAACUUUGAAGCUACUAAGAAUAAAUGACUUAUUUAUAAUUUGCAAUUUCAGUGCCAGGUGUGGCUGAAGAAUUAUAUUGAAGACGAGGAAUGUGUCAGGUUAAGACAAUAACUAUAAGUGUAAUCUGAAUC